rnacentral:rRNA from 1 species
CGUGAGCAACCUACCUUCAAGUCUGGGAUAGCCCUGGGAAACCAGGAUUAAUACCGGAUGUGGCACAAUGCGACAUCGCGAUGUGUGUAAAGGGGUAACCCGCUUGAUGACGGGCUCGCGGCCUAUUAGCUUGUUGGUGGGGUAAUGGCCUACCAAGGCGAUGAUGGGUAGCUGGUCUGAGAGGACGAUCAGCCACACUGGGACUGAGACACGGCCCAG